GUCUAACCCUAAUUUCGAAAGUCUAACCCUAAUUUCGAAACUAUCCUUCCUCCAGUGUCCAGAAGACUGCAGUCCUCCUCUUCCUCGGUUCCUCCCAUCGGCCUCCAUUGUAAACCCUAACUCCAUUAUUCUCUCAGAUUUCUCGGAAUCCCGUCGAGGCUUCAACGACGAUCUGCUCAAGCUCAAGCUAUCAAAGAAACGGACCUCUUUUGAAUCUCCCUCUCCGCCUUUCUCUUUUGUUUCUGAUGGCAGUGGAAUUUCCGUGAAUCAACUCACCGAGGAUGUAAUGAACCUAAAUAUUAGCGACGAGCCAUCAACUCAAGGGUCCAAUACUGUGGUUAAUCGAGGGAGAGAUUAGCUGGGAAGCGGGCCAUAAUCUCCAAGUGAAGUAACAAAACUUCAAUGGCAUUUUCUGGUUGGUGGGGACUUUGAUUGACUCUCCACAAAGUGAUUUUUAUUUGAGGGAACUUCCUCCGUCCGGGGCCGUGGCUGGACCGUCUACAUUUUCCGGGGAUGGAUGGGUCAUAGGUCGGUUUGCUAGCCGCUACUUGGAUUGGCUCGUUGUUGAAUGUUAUCUUAUAUUCUAGGCGUGUUUUUAGGCAUUGAACAAACUGGAAUGUUAUUGAUUGUUAUGGCAUUGAACAUUUGAACAGGAAUGCUGUAAAUGUGUUUUUGGGCAUUGAACUGGAAUGUUAUUGACUGUUUUAGCAUUGAACAUGAAUGUUAAAGAUGUGUUUUUCA